CCUCACUUAUUUUUUUCCUAAGUAACCCACCAAAAUAAAAAAUUUAGGACCCAAUAUUUUCAUAACCCACAAAAAGAUUAUUUUAGAACCCUCAUAUCUGAGACACCCAAAUCUCACUAGAACCUACCAUUUCUCUCACUAGAACCUUUCAAAUCUCUCUAGUCGCGUAAAUCUCAUGCCCAAAUCUGUGAUAUUUAUGUAAAAUUAGAGCAUGGAUGGAGCUUAUUUUGCAAUUUCUCUCAUAUACUCGGAGUUUCGCUGAUCUAUGAAGUCAAAAAAUUAUAGGGUUUUCUUCAAUCUGUGAAAUUUUAGCUGAAAAAAUAAUUUUAAGUUCUUCAGGUUUUGAAGCUGGAUAAGUAUUUUGGAUUCUCUACUGAUGGACUUCUGCAUAUUGCUCAUUCCUACAGGAUAUCUCAUUGGAAACAAGGUUGUUUAUGAUAGAGAUAGAGAUGUUGUUUAUUAUAUAGAUCUAACAAGGUUGGAAGUUUACUGAGCUUUUGGAAUGCGCCGAAGAAGUACUGGAGAUUGGAUUCUAAGCUUGAAACAAAAAUAAUGGAACUUAAGAGAAGUUCAUCAGGACAAAGAAAAUUCUAGUCAAUCAAUAGUAUAAUGUUGAAAUUUUCUCAGUUUAAAGAGAGAUUGAAGGAGAUAAAAGUUGUCUUUGAACAGAUGAAGAUUCAAAUUAGGACUAUUGAUCGGGAUGAACUAAAUAAAUGCGUAAAGAAGCUGGAAUUUUAUGUUCAAGAGGAAGAAAUUGAUAAUCUUUUCGACUCCUGCGAUGUGGAUGAAAAGGAAGGGAUUCAAUUCAAUAAGUUCAUUGUUCUUUCUA